rnacentral:rRNA from 1 species
GAUGAACGCUAGCGGCAGGCCUAAUACAUGCAAGUCGAACGGGAUCUGAGGGUAGCUUGCUACCCGAUUUGAGAGUGGCGCACGGGUGCGUAACGCGUGAGCAACCUACCCAUAUCAGGGGGAAAGCCCGAAGAAAUUCGGUUAAACCCCGCAAAAUAAUCCGCUAACACAGGUUAAGUUAUUAAAAUAUUUAUGGGAAUGGGAUGGGCUGGCGUGACAUUAGCUAGUUGGUAAGGUAACGGCUUACCAAGGCGACGAUGUCUAGGGGGUCUGAGAGGAGAAUCCCCCACACUGGUACUGAGACACGGACCAGACUCCUACGGGAGGCAGCAGUAAGGAAUAUUGGUCAAUGGGCGCAAGCCUGAACCAGCCAUGCCGCGUGCAGGAUGACUGCCCUAUGGGUUGUAAACUGCUUUUGUUAGGGAAUAAACCUACUUAUGUAUAAGUAGCUGAAUGUACCUAAAGAAUAAGGAUCGGCUAACUCCGUGCCAGCCGCCGCCGUAA